ACUACCAUUCAGUUGAGGACUCUAAUGAGACUGCCAACGAUAAGUUGGAGGAAGGUGGGGAUGACGUCAAAUCAUCAUGCCCUUUAUGACCUGGGCUACAAACGUACUACAAUGGCCGGUACAAAGAGAUGCGAAGUGGCGACAUGGAGCGAACCUCAGAAAGCCGGUUUCAGUUCGGAUUGCAGGCUGCAAUUCGCCUGCAUGAAGUCGGAAUCGCUAGUAAUCGCAGGUCAGCAUACUGCGGUGAAUACGUUCCCGGGCCUU
rnacentral:rRNA from 1 species